GCAUUGAGAAAUUCCCACCCCUCUGCCUUUUACUUCAUUCACUUCCUAAAUAAAUGAACCCUUAAGGCAUUCACUGCCUAAGGGUUCAUGAAGGUUGAGGUAAGAAAUCCCUAAGCUACUUCUUUCACUUCAUUUACCUCCUAAGACAAGGGACCUUGAAGGGCAUUUAUUGCCUAAGGGGUUCAGAAUGGCUUAGGUUGAGAAAUCCCUAAUCAUUUUUUUCUCACUUCCUUCACCUCUCAAGGCAAUGACCUCAUAAAGGGCAUACAUUCUCUAAGGAUUGAAGUAGGGUUAGGCCAAGAUAUCCAUGACUACCCCACUCACUUCAUUUGCCUCCUAAGGUAAUAGUCCCUCGAAGGAUUCAUCACCUUAAAGCUUAAUUAGGUUCAAGUCAAGAAAUCUCUUAUCCUAUCCUUCUCACUUUAUUCACCUCCUAGGGCAAGGGACUAUCAAGGGCAUUUAUCCUAUAAGGGUUUAUAUGUGCUCAAGUUGAGAAAUCUUAUACCCUACUUAUUUGAUCACUUCAUUUGCCUUCCAAAGCAAGUGACCCUUAAAGGGCAUUGGGUUCAAGUGAUCAACUUCAGUUGAGAAUCCUUAACCUUUACCUCUCACUUCAUUUCCCUCAUGAAGUAAACGACCAUCUAAGGCAUUCAUCUCCUAAAAGUUUAAGUGGGCUAAGGUUGAUAAAUCACUAACCUUACUUUUCGUCAUUUACUUGCCUCUUAAGGCUUUGGACCCUUAAGGGUAUAUUUGCUUAUGGGUUUAGGUGGGUUAGGUUAAGAACAUCCUUGGGGAAACCAUUCAAGCCUCUUUUAGGCAGGUUUAAGUGACAAUUUUCACAUGACACAAUAAUAUAAUUAAGAAAUAACAUAAAUUUAAUUUAUUCAAAUUAAGUGUAAUCAUAUUUGUAUCCUUAUUAUGUCAACUUGUGUGAUCCAUUUUAAUAAACAAGUUGUGUUUAAAUUUGAUUAUUUCAUUUAAUUCGUUCACGUAAUCUUCUUAAAAUGACAUGUUCAUGACUUAUAUAAUUCAUAAAAAUUUAUUAAUUUUAUAUAUUUAGAAAUUAUAAAAAUUUAAAAUAAUUUCAAAAUUAUAAAAUAAUAUAUAGUUGAAAAUUUAAUAAUUUAAGUAAAAUUUUAUAUAUUUCAUCACAAAGAUUAAAAAAAUUUUAUAAUUAAAACAUUAAAUAAAAAAAAUAAACAUUUACAAAAUCAAAAUAAAAAUUUACUUUCCAUAUUCUAAACAUAUUAUAAUUAAAAUUAAAUAAUUAAAUUAAUUAUCAUUUAUAAAAUUAAAACUUCAUAUUUAAACUAGUUAAAAAGUAUUUCAAGAUUCAUUAUUCAACUUUAACUCAUUCAUUAAAUGAGUUGAACAAAUCAUGUCAUAUUCUCUGUAUAAUUAACGAGUCGUGUUUAUAUCAGGUCACUCUAACACAAUUAUUAAACCAAUUAUAUUUAAGUAAAUUUUCACUAUUUUUUACUUAAUAAUGAUGUCGUUGUGCAAAUUAAUAAGUCGAUUUUACCACACAAUUAUUAGAAGCCCAUACAAAAAUUUAAGAUCAAAGGUCACAAUCUUCCAUUUUGUUUUAUUUUUUUAAUAUUUAGUGACAAUUUUUGGGUUACCAAAGAAUUUUAUUUAGAAUUAUUAUACUAAGUUCUAAUCGUUAGGUAUGAGGGACGAAUUUAAGAAUCUCAUACCUAAUCCUUUCUUUUUCACUUCCUUCACCUCCUAAGGCAAGGAACUCAUAAAAGGGCAUGCAUCUGUGGAUUGUAGUGGGCUUUAGGCCAAGAUAUUCAUGACUACCCCACUCAUUUCAUUUGCCUCCUAAGGUAAUAGACCCUCGGAGGAUUCAUCACCUUACAGCUUAAUUAGGUCCAAGUCAAAAAAUCUCUUAUCCUCUCCUUCUCACUUUAUUCACCUCCUAGGGCAAGAGACUAUCAAGGGCAUUUAUCCUAUAAGGGUUUAAAUGUGCUCAAGUUGAGAAAUCUUAUACCCUACUUAUUUGAUCACUUCAUUUGCCUUCCAAAGCAAGUGACCCUUAAAGGGCAUUGGGUUCAAGUGAUCAACUUCAGUUGAGAAUCCUUAACCUUUACUUUUCACUACAUUUCCCUCAUGAAGUAAAUGACCAUCUAAGGCAUUCACCUCCUAAAAGUUUAAGUGGGCUAAGGUUGAUAAAUCACUAACCUUACUUUUUGUACAUUGUUUGCCUCUUAAGGCUUCAGACCCUUAAGGGCAUCUUUGCUCAAGAGUUUAGGUGGGUUAGGUUAAGAACAUUCUUGGUGCAACCAUUCAAGCCUCUUUUAGGUAGGUUUAAGUGACAAUUUUCACAUGACACAACAAUAUAAUUAAAAAAAAUAACAUAAAUUUAAUUCAUUCAAAUUAAAUGUAAUCAUAUUUGUAUUGUUAUUAUGUCAACUUGUGUAGUUCAUUUUAAUAAACGAGUUGUGUUUAAAUUUGAUUGUUUCAUUUAAUUCGUUCACGUAAUCUUCUUAAAAUGAAAUGUUCAUGACUUAUUUAAUUCAUAAAAAUUUAUUAAUUUUAUACAUUUAGAAAUUAUAAAAAUUUAAAAUAC
rnacentral:lncRNA from 1 species